GUCCGAGCAGGUAGCGCAGUUUCGGCAGCCUGGCGAGUUGGCAGGUGGGGUGGGACUCACCCGUCAACUCGUUAAUUUUAAAAGUCAGUUUGGGAGUGCUGCAGCGUAGUCAGGAGGGCUGUGGCGAGGCGAGAGGUGGCCCGGGAUGCCGAUGGUGGGGGAGGAAAAGAGAAGCCUCGAAAAGCUUGGAGGCAAAAUUGCGCUUGGGUUCUUGGUCCUUGCAUCCCUCCUACCUUGAGUGCGGGAGAACACUUUUUUGUUUUAAGACUCAGCUUGGAGAGAAAGCCUCCGUCCCAGGGGAAGAGAGGAGUCAGCGGGGGGCAGAGACCGCAGCUACCUGCCGGGUGCGCCCCCCACCCCGGGCGCGCUCGCUUUUGUCCCCCCUCUCUCCCCCGCCCCCACCUCCUUAUUGGUGCUGGUUUGCAGCGCUCGGCCCCUGCGCCUCCGCUUCGCGUUUUGAAUCUGGCUCGUCCCUCCGUAUUAUGUCUGCACUCCGAAGGAAAUUUGGGGACGAUUACCAGGUAGUGACCACCUCGUCCAGCGGCUCGGGCUUGCAGCCCCAGGGGCCGGGCCAGGGCCCGCAGCAGCAGCUUGUGCCCAAGAAGAAGCGGCAGCGGUUCGUGGACAAGAACGGCCGGUGCAAUGUACAGCACGGCAACCUGGGCAGCGAGACGAGCCGCUACCUCUCGGACCUCUUCACCACCCUGGUGGACCUCAAGUGGCGCUGGAACCUCUUCAUCUUCAUCCUCACCUAUACCGUGGCCUGGCUCUUCAUGGCGUCCAUGUGGUGGGUGAUCGCUUACACUCGGGGCGACCUGAACAAAGCCCACGUCGGCAACUACACGCCCUGCGUGGCCAAUGUUUAUAACUUCCCCUCCGCCUUCCUCUUCUUCAUCGAGACCGAGGCUACCAUCGGCUAUGGCUACCGCUACAUCACCGACAAGUGCCCCGAGGGCAUCAUCCUCUUCCUCUUCCAGUCCAUCCUCGGCUCCAUCGUGGACGCCUUCCUCAUCGGCUGCAUGUUCAUCAAGAUGUCCCAGCCCAAGAAGCGCGCGGAGACCCUGAUGUUUAGCGAGCACGCGGUCAUCUCCAUGAGGGACGGAAAACUCACGCUCAUGUUCCGGGUGGGCAACCUGCGCAACAGCCACAUGGUCUCCGCGCAGAUCCGCUGUAAGCUGCUCAAAUCUCGGCAGACACCUGAGGGUGAGUUCCUUCCCCUUGACCAACUUGAACUGGAUGUAGGUUUUAGUACAGGGGCAGAUCAACUUUUUCUUGUUUCCCCCCUCACAAUUUGCCACGUGAUUGAUGCCAAAAGCCCCUUUUAUGACCUAUCGCAGCGAAGCAUGCAAACUGAACAGUUCGAGAUUGUCGUCAUCCUAGAAGGCAUUGUGGAAACAACUGGGAUGACUUGUCAAGCUCGAACAUCUUACACUGAAGAUGAAGUUCUUUGGGGUCAUCGUUUUUUUCCUGUGAUUUCCUUAGAAGAAGGGUUCUUUAAAGUCGAUUACUCCCAGUUCCAUGCGACAUUUGAAGUCCCCACCCCACCUUAUAGUGUGAAAGAACAGGAGGAGAUGCUCCUUAUGUCAUCCCCUUUAAUAGCACCAGCCAUAACUAACAGCAAAGAAAGACAUAAUUCUGUGGAAUGCUUAGAUGGACUAGAUGACAUUACUACAAAACUUCCAUCUAAACUGCAGAAAAUUACCGGAAGAGAAGACUUUCCCAAAAAACUCUUGAGGAUGAGUUCUACAACUUCAGAAAAAGCCUACAGCUUGGGAGAUUUGCCCAUGAAACUUCAACGAAUAAGUUCAGUUCCCGGUAACUCAGAAGAAAAACUGGUAUCGAAAACCACCAAGAUGUUGUCUGACCCCAUGAGCCAGUCCGUGGCUGACUUGCCACCAAAGCUUCAAAAGAUGGCUGGAGGAGCAGCGAGGAUGGAAGGGAAUCUCCCGGCCAAACUGAGAAAAAUGAACUCUGAUCGAUUCACAUAACAAAACACCCCCAUUGGCAUUAUUUGCUGUUUGAUUUAGUAAUAGUCCAAUAUUUGGCUGAUGAGGUAAUUCUCGAAGGAAUCCGAAAGGUACAUUUCCCACCCCCCCCAGUCAUAUAUGCUUAUUUGAGAACCCUUUCUUCCCAAGUAUUGCCACUGUGCAGAAAGCAAAAGUUAUGUAAAGGGAAGACAUCCUAAGAAAGUUCUUAUUAACGGGCAUGUAUUAUCACAUCAAGCAUGCAAUAAUGUGCAAAUUUUGCAUUUAGUUUUAUGGCAUGAUUUAUAUAUGGUAUAUUUAUAUUGUAUAUUAUGGAAAAAAAUAUAUAUAUAUUUAAAGAGGUGGUACUCUUCACGACAUUUCUAACAUAUAUAUUAAGCCAAACAUGAGUGGAUAGUUUUCAGGGCGAUAAAACUAUAUAUAUGUGUGUGUGUGUGUGUGUGUACACACAUAUAUAUAUAUGUACACUCACACACACACACACACACACACAUACAUACAUACAUAUAUAUAUCCGAUAAAAUUGUGAUGUUUUGUUCAAACUUGUAGUUCUUGUGCAUGUUUACUUUAUUAGGCUAGGAAGGCUUCUGGCAUUAAUUAUUAAUACCAAAUAUUUUAGCCUUAAAUUAUUUGUCAUUUUAAAAUCUGAUUUAAUGUUUUCUGCUGUUUAAGGUCCUGGGAGGUUAUCAAUUGUACUUUAUAUGAGGGAGUCACACAAGUCUAUGCUAUUUUUGGCCCCGCAUAAAUAUAACCAUUAUAUAUUUAACUUGUAAAUUUUAGAGCAUACCAGUAUGCUAAAAAUUUCUUAUGAUUUUUAAAAGUUGCUAGUACUAGGGAAAAAUUGGUUAAUUUGAGAAUUGGUCCUUUUCUGGACUACUUGAAGUCUGGAAAUCUGUUUUGUAUAUGAUCUAACACAAACAUGAGCUAUGAACAAAUGCUGAAUCACUGUAAUCAUCAGUAGCCAACUUACAUUGAAUAUAUCAGAAUCUGCUUGAAAUUACAUAAUUAAUGUUCCCUGUUUCAAACUGAGUCAAUUGGUAACAUUUCCACUCUUUUUCUGAAAUUUCUGUCAGUUUAAAAACCAAUAAUUUAUUUUGAGGAGAUACAACAACACAAUGAAACAGAUGAUAAAUAUUUAUGCUUAAAAUAUGUAUGUCUAAAUGAGUCUCUUUUUUAAUGCUGUUCUCUUGUUUGUGGCAUUUAUUGUAUCAGGACAGACUUUUUCCCGCAUCUGGGGAACCUAUCCCACCCAUGCCUGUCACUCCAUUCAGGAAGAAUGUUCUGUAUAUACCUGAGAGAAUUUUAAAUUAGAUGAAUUGAAGAUAUUUUACCCAUGUGGGCUUUUUUUGUUUGCUUGUUUGUUUGGUAAACACUGACUUUAUGGGUGUCUUGGAUCCCUGGCCUACCAAAGUAAUUUUAGCAGUACUAUUUUUCUAACCCCAAGGUCUGAUACUUAUUACUCAUUAGUGGAAAUAAAAAAAAAAAAAAAAAAAAAAAAAAAAAACUAUUGCUCAGAAGAACACCUACAAAAUAAAGAUUUGGAAUGCAGAGAUUUUUAUGAAAAUUUAUAAGUGUUCCUUAUCAAAAUAUCAUGGAUUUUCCUAUAAAAUUUCUUUGGGCAUUGCAUUGUAAGUCUCUCCAGAAUUAAGCUAUUUCUCCUUAUUAAUAUCUAAAUCCUUAAUGGCUGGUUUGGGCUCCCAUCAUUUCCCAUUUUUUAGCAAUCCUGUGAUGAUUUUCUUAUUGGAAAAUGAUUACAUCAACAAUUCUAUCAUAACUUCAAUAAUACCUUCUGGCUACCUCUGUAUCAACCAAAUUUUGUAGGUGCAAACAUAUCCCAGGGAACUGUUACUGGCAAAAUGAUCAACCUUGAGCAUUCAUCCACUGUGAAUAGAGCUAGUUGCUCUACCCCUUGAUCCCAUUUGCUGGUUAUAGAAAAUGAACUAAUAGCAGAGAGAGAAGGGGGUCUAGGGGGCAUGAGACAUUUAUUAUCAGUGGAAGAAACUCCAUAGAUCAUUUAGUCCAAACACUUAACACUAAACAGAGCCAUAAUUUAAUUUGAGGAGUCAUUCUAUUGUCUUUGGUACCAAGGAGAAUAUGGGACCAAAAACAAACUCUCUGAAUGUAUUCACUCAUUCAUUCAACAAAAUUUUUGCAUGCCUUUUAUGUCCUAGGCAGUUUUAGGUCCUGGAGAUUUGGCUAUGACUAAGUCAGAGGAGGUCGCUGCCCAUUUGAACACUGCGUAUUGUUAGGAGAGUGGGGAGGGGCCCUGUGGAGACAGAACACAAAUGAGAUCAUUUCAGAUACUCAAAAUAUCAGUUUAAGGUAAGAAAAACAAGACAUCAAAAUGGAAAAUGACUAGGUGGACUAAGAAUUGAUUAUUUUAGAAGAGGUGACCGGCUUAGGGAGGGGGUGAUAUUUCAACAGACAUCUGCGUAAUGAGAAAGAACCACUGUUGCCAAAAUUAAUUUUUCUCAGUGAUGCUAUUCCUUUAUCUUUUCCACAUAUGUAUGGGAAAGGUAUGAUUUCUGCAUGUAAUUGCAGUUUAGCGCGUAUUGCUAAGUUGAUCGGAGGUCCCAGUUUCCCCGGGGACUGGAACGCAGUUUAUACCUCUUGUAUCUGUGUAAUUAGUAAUAGCACUCCCUUUCACUCUUCGAAUGUCCUGGUUUGGAUGAUACAUUAUAUGGUGACUCAAUGUUUUUGUUGAAACUAACUAAAUUAUGAAGUCUGAUAUAUUUGGAUAAAAAUAAAGAAUUGCUUUUUCUUCUCUUUUUGCUGAUUUUUUUGACACUGAUCAUUCCAAGAAAAAUCAUCUCCGUCUCGUAUAUUUCAGCCUCCAGGACUUCUUAUCAAAGUGAUUUCGUGUAACAUUUGUUCGAUCUGUAUGUGACAUGUUUUCUCAGCAGUGAAAAGUAAUGAGUUUUAUUGACUGCAUAAAACAUAAAUCUCUGGUAUUUCCAUUCCAGGAAGUUACAAGAACUCAAAUCAAAUAGAAUAAAAGUCAACAGAAGCCAGGAUAAUUGUCAGCCCACCAAUGUGGUGACUAUUGGAAAGCAAAAUGUAAUUAUGUUCAUUGAACUGAGUAACUCUACUUACCAACUGGAAACUAGUCCCUUUUGUGGGAUUUUCAUGGUAUAGCUCCUGUCAUGUGAAUUACUCUUAGUCCUCGAUUCAGUUUAUCACGAGACUCUUAACUCCUAAAAGACGAUUCAAUCCAUCACAACUCAUUCCUGGAGGGUUACUUUCGUUUUUAUU